GACGAAGGGGGCUAGCGUUGUUCGGAAUUACUGGGCGUAAAGCGCGUGUAGGCGGUUGUUCAAGUCGGGUGUGAAAGCCUUGAGCUCAACUCAAGAAAUGCACUCGGUACUGGAUGACUAGAGGACCGGAGAGGAUAGUGGAAUUCCCAGUGUAGUGGUGAAAUACGUAGAGAUUGGGAAGAACACCAGUGGCGAAAGCGACUUCCUGGACCAAUACUGACGCUCAUGUGCGAAAGCGUGGGGAGCAAACAGG
rnacentral:rRNA from 1 species